GUCAAGUCAUCAUGGCCCUUACGCCCAGGGCUACACACGUGCUACAAUGGCCAGGACAGAGGGCUGCGAGACCGCAAGGUGGAGCGAAUCCCAGAAACCUGGCCCAAGUUCGGAUUGCGGGCUGCAACUCGCCCGCAUGAAGCCGGAAUCGCUAGUAAUCGCGGAUCAGCUACGCCGCGGUGAAUACGUUCCCGGGCCUU
rnacentral:rRNA from 1 species